UACCUACGGGGCGCAGCAGUGGGGAAUAUUGCACAAUGGGGGAAACCCUGAUGCAGCAACGCCGCGUGAGUGAAGAAGUAUUUCGGUAUGUAAAGCUCUAUCAGCAGGGAAGAGAAUGACGGUACCUGACUAAGAAGCCCCGGCUAACUACGUGCCAGCAGCCGCGGUAAUACGUAGGGGGCGAGCGUUAUCCGGAUUUACUGGGUGUAAAGGGAGCGUAGACGGAUCUGCAAGUCUGACGUGAAAGCCCGUGGCUUAACCG
rnacentral:rRNA from 1 species